CCUGCCUACAUUGUGAUAGGGAUAUGUUUUAAAAUAAUAACUCCUUCUCUUUUAAAUUCUCUUUUUCAUUAGAUUAUUUUCGAAUAUUGAAAGAAACUGAAGUUUUUCUUAUAAUUCCAGACCUCUAGCUUUUAAGCAAAAAUGAAUAACUAAAUAACAAGCGAUCCUAAACAUAUGUAGUAAUCCCCAUCAAAAUGGCGACAUAAUUCUCCGAAGUUGAUGAGUGGAGCAAGCAAGAGGUGUAAACCCCUGGUUUACCAUAUUUAUCUUAAAGACAAUUUGAACUUUGGAGUCUAUAUGAACUGUCGAUUGACAAACCACUGGGGACAAACUCGCGACAUUCUUCUCACAAGACUUCAUGAAUAACGUGUGCGUGGGAGACCGGGUGACCUGUCACCGGGUCGUGG